GAAAAAAGAAAAUAAAGCGGAUACGCAGUGGAUACGCCCACGAUACGGCUGGGGGAUACGGGAACCCCAAACCCCAGGAGUUAUACAGCGACCCAUCCCAUUCCCCUGUCGUCUGCUCACAUCCCGAGCCCAGGACCUGGGCGUCGCCGUCACGCGCCGCCACACUGCAGGAGAUCUCCGGCCACCUGUGCUGCUGCGCCGCCUCGCCGGAGGAAUGGUCCAGCCACCGAGCAGACCCUCCGCCGCCCUCCGCCGCCCUGUGCAGAUUCUGAGUGCUGCAAAGAACAACAUCCAUUUGUAAACGAUUGCUGCGUGAGAUUCAAGAUAAUAAAAUAACGUAAAUCUAUUCCAUUGCCAACCAGCAGCGACCGCCGGCCACAAGUCAGGGAGGCGACCGUCCGCCUGCGCUGGGCUGCUAUAUUGAUUAUGGAACAUGAGUCUAUGGAAAAUCGAGCAAUUCAGGCUAAUUCUUUCUCUUGCGACGCUAUUGCUGAUCAGAGAUAUUCAGGUUCUUCUGGAAAUGUUAUUUUGGUUUUCAAUCAUUUGUCCUGAACUCCUAUUGCACUAUGAAGAUAUUUGCACAAGGUGAUUAUAUCUCGUGCACUUCUGAAUUCUGGAGGCAAAACGGCUUCCAUUCAAGCAAGCUUUACAAGGAAGGCUCUUGAAUGGGUGAGGUUAACUUCACUAUUCUUUCCCUUCAGUAGUUCUGGUGAACAUGAUGAUUUCUGAUAAAGGUGAACAUGCUGAUUUCUUGACAUACAGAUUAACACCAUGCUACUAUUCAUGCAAGACAUUUUUCUGUUCACAUAUUUCUUUUCACUUUAUUUUAGAUUGUGUUUAUAGGAAAUUCAUGUCUGUUUAAUGAGUAUGUGAGAUGUUCCUAGGUUUUGUGUAAUAUAAGAAGUAGCUCAGCUAUGUUAAUUGUUUAUUUCAUAAACAUAUCUACGAUAGCCAUUAAAUUUUUCGUUCAUAUGUAUCUAUACUUUUAUCUUAUUUUCAUGUUUGCGCAAUGAUCUGCUGGGUUGUUAGUGCAAAGGGGGUCAACUACCUCUUGCUUGCUCGAAACCUUUGAUACGGAAUCCGAUCUGAGAAUCGUUUAGUUCAUAGUCUGGUGCACCUGUUUAGUUGAUAGCAUAAGAUACUACUUUGUCACAAAAGCCAAUUUCCCAUCUUAUUGGAUGAUUUCCUAAUUAUAUGAAUCAGGGUUGGAAGCAGGCAAACUAUUCGGUAAGAUUUAAGUAGUUACUUACCUCAUGAUAAAAAAAUUAGUAUUGCUUCCUGCAUUUUUCUUUUAUUUUUUGGGCGAUGUCGUUCACUACAUGAAUGAUUCAAGAAUAUUAAUUAUUUAGUGUGUUUGAUACCUCUUCCAUGUAUUCUACAGUGGCCCUGGUCUACUGAGUGUAGUUAUUGCUUAUGUCAGUUCUUCCUACAAUCUCGGAUGAUAUUUACCCAGGGUUGUUUGAGCAGGUGAUAUUUAUUCGCUUAACCAGCAUGGAGAAUGAUUUCUACUUCCUACAGUGGCGCUUUCCAUCAUUAAACAAACAAAAAAAACAUUUGCAGGUGUAUGUGUUAGAUUUUUCCCCGCAGUCUCGAAUAGUUCUGACCCGCACCCGGUUUGUUGAGCAUGUGAUUUGCUAAGGGAACGUGCUUAUCCUAGGAUAAGCGGGCCUACUUUUAGAGCAAAGAGAACACAGAUGGCAUGGGUAACACAACCUACACACACUCAACGAAAUGGAUAUUACUAGGUCAUUGUUAUGUUGUCAGUAUGUUUCUAUAUUGUGGCGCUUCCUACUGGUACCAAGAGCGUAACAAACGUUUGAGCAACAACCAUUGUGCAUAUACAGGUUGCUGCCGCGGUGGAUGGGUCAGUUCGCUUUAUGUGCAUGAUUCGCGAAUGUAACUCCAUGUUUUCUUUUAUGUCUCUUGGCACUCAUGUUGACACAAGUGUAAAUAUGGGUAAUGGCCAAUAUGUUCUUAAGAUCUGUGGAGCUGUUUUUCAUGAGAUUGGUUCUUUGCUAUCUCCAGAGAGAGAUCAUGUCCCUAAGUUUGCUCAGUUGUAUUUUAUGACACCCAAAAUGAGCUGGAUAAUAGGAUGGGAAUAUUUGGACCAGAUGAUGACAUCGAGGAUGGCGCUGCUGAUAAUAAGGUUGCUGGGGUGAAUGAGCAGUCAUCGCCUGAUUACGCCCUUCUAUUAUUUGAGUAUAGGUUACUUCAACUUAGCGGCUAAUGCUUUUUGUUCAUGUUUAUUCUGUUUUUGUGCUCAGGUUUCAUCCUACGAUGAAGCUAUUGAUGCCAUCAUUAACGAGUCUCUUCCUGUUUAGGUGCUGUUAGGGUAACCUCUUAGAUUUUACUUUCCUUUGUUAUUUCUAUUAAAAUCCGCAACUUCAGAGCUGACCAUAUAAAGUAAAUUGCAGGUUCAUGGUCAUAUUCAGCAGUCCAUCUAAAAAAAGCACCUCUGUUCAUGGUUACUGUGUUCAAAAGCUAUGUUCGGAAGCUCAAGACCUAAAGUUGCUUAAUGCACUCAGUUCAAUAGAAAGAUUUCCUGAACGUUUUUAGGCAGUAGAAAAAAGAAUACAACCGCUUCUUUGUUUUGUACAUUUCCAAGCGAUGUCCUGACAACUACUUCCGACUGUUUGAUCUGUAUUGUGUGUUAUCCUGCCUAUGUCUAUAUGCGGUACACAGAUAUAUAAGUUUGCUUUUCUGUUCA